UACAGAGGGUGCAAGCGUUGUUCGGAAUUAUUGGGCGUAAAGGGCGCGUAGGCGGCCAACUAAGUCAGACGUGAAAUCCCUCGGCUCAACCGGGGAACUGCGUCUGAUACUGGAUGGCUUGAAUUCGGGAGAGGGAUGCGGAAUUCCAGGUGUAGCGGUGAAAUGCGUAGAUAUCUGGAGGAACACCGGUGGCGAAGGCGGCAUCCUGGACCGGCAUUGACGCUGAGGCGCGAAAGCCAGGGGAGCAAACGGG
rnacentral:rRNA from 1 species